GGGAUCUUGCUUGAAACCUAACUUGUGCACAAAAAAUAAAAUCAUACGUUGAGUAAUAAACUCAGUGAUAUUUUUAUAAUCGAACAUUAUAAUACAUCUUAAAUCAAUUAAAAACACUUAAUAAAAGGCCAUUCAAUACCAAUGCCAAACAACAUGUUAUAAUGUACAUUCUACUAAAUGAAUCAUUCCAUUCAAGUUCAAUUAACUAGUAUAGUAGUAUCAUACAUUAUCACAACAUAUCUCGAAUCGAA
rnacentral:lncRNA from 1 species